CAGCAGCCGCGGUAAUACCGGCGGCCCGAGUGGCAGUCACUAUUAUUGGGCUUAAAGCGUCCGUAGCCGGGUUGGGAAGUCCUCCGGGAAAUCUGGCCGCUUAACGGUCAGAAUGCCGGAGGAUACUCCCAGCCUAGGGAGCGGGAGAGGCCGAGGGUAUUCCCGGAGUAGGGGUGAAAUCCUAUAAUCCCGGGAGGACCACCUGUGGCGAAGGCGCUCGGCUGGAACGCGUCCGACGGUGAGGGACGAAGGCCAGGGGAGCAAACCGGAGUAGAUACCCGGGUAGUCCUGGCUGUAAACGAUGCGGACUUUGUGUCGGACAAGCUAUGAGCUUGUCCGGUGCCGGAGGGAAACCGUUAAGUCCGCCGCCUGGGGAGUACGGCCGCAAGGCUGAAACUUAAAGGAAUUGGCGGG
rnacentral:rRNA from 1 species